CGCGAACGCUGGCGGCAUGGCUAAAACAUGCAAGUCGAACGCGAAAGCGGAGCAAUCCGCAAGUAGAGUGGCGAAAGGGCGAGGAAUACAUUUCUAACGUGCCCCGAGGUCAGGGACAGCUCAGGGAAACCUGAAUUAAUACCUGAUGAUCCCGUCGUGUCGUAUGGCGUGACGGGCAAAGGUUUACUGCCUUGGGAUCGGGAAAUGUCCUAUCGGCUAGUUGGUGAGGUAACGGCUCACCAAGGCGAAGACGGGUAGCGGGUGUGAGAGCACGGCCCGCCGCAUCGGGACUGAGACAUUGCCCGGACUCCUACGGGAGGCUGCAGUAACGAAUAUUCCGCAAUGGGCGCAAGCCUGGCGGAGCAAUGCCGCGUGAAGGAUGAAGCCCCUCGGGGUGUAAACUUCUGUCAGAGUUCACCAAUACAUUGAGGAGACUCAAAGGAAGGGCCGACUAACUCUGUGCCAGCAGUCGCGGUAAUACAGAGGGCCCGAGCGUUG
rnacentral:rRNA from 1 species